UACUUUUCUAAAGUACCUGGAAACUUAUCACUGAAAACAAAAACAAAAACUGAUGACAUUGAAAUCAUUGCAGUGUAAUCACUUGUGGUGUCUACUCCCAAUGUUAUUGUGGAGAAAUCCUGGAAGAAAAGAGCUCUUUGGCUAGUUAUAUUAGGUGACAGGAUUUAUUAUGUACACCAAAGAUGCAAGCGUCAUUUCUAGAAUUUUCGUUAAACUUCGGAGUUGUAAUAGCUAUAUAGGAAAAGGGGUAAGAAGAAAGAGGAGAUGAAAACAGCUUUGCAAAAGUUAAGGGUGAAUUUUCCUCCCCUAUUUUCUUUUUUCCUGACAAUAUAAAUAAUGUCUGAUUAAGAUGAAAAGUUAAGAAAGCAAAUACAUUCCUACAGAAUUGGGCUGAGAAUGAGGUUAAAUUGUAUGUACACAAUAAAGAAAGCUAUAGAGCUUUUUGAGGAAAAAAUGACUAUAUUUUGGCAAGAAAAUUAUUACAAGUUCUUUCCAAGUGAGGGAAGAAGACUAUACCAUCCAUUUAGUUCAAAGAAUAACCAGGAAUGAGAUGGGAGCUCGUUACUAUGGCAGACCAUUUGGCAAGUGGAAGAACACUUCUUUCUAUGUAGGCAAUUUGAGGAAAAAUUAGAGGAAAAAGAUUGGCUAAAAUGUUGCAAGUAGUAGAUUUAUGGAAAUAUUCAGCAUAUGGUGUGAGUAGAUGCAUGAUAAGCACAGAUGUGAAAAAAAUUAAAUUAUUCUUGUUGGAGAAUUUGAACCUAAGAAAAUGCUACUCUAGGUAUCCAUGCUUUUACCACUUGCUAACAAAAGCUUCUUAUGGCUUGUAACAGUAAGUACUCAUUACAGAGAAGAGAUACAUGCUCUUGGAGGAUUCCCCACUACCACAUUCUCACAAGUUAUUGGAAAAAACUUUGGAGUUUGGGCACAGUAAUAGCUAUAUUUUAAGAAUUUCGUUAUUUGCCUCCAUAAAUGAAUGCCUGUCUACCUCAUUGGCCUGAAAAUUGUACCACAUCUGCAAGAUGAAUCAUUUGGCUUUCUAGUUGGUCCUGGGGGACAGGAACACAGCCCACAGAUUUACCAGUAGCUGACUGCCUGG
rnacentral:lncRNA from 1 species